rnacentral:rRNA from 1 species
UCCCCUUCGGGGGAUAAGUAAAGUGGCGCACGGGUGAGUAACACGUAGGUAAUCUACCUUCGGGUGGGGAAUAACCCAGGGAAACUUGGGCUAACACCGCAUGAUGCAGCGGCACCACAUGGUGACAGUUGUUAAAGCGGGGGAUUUUAGGACCUCGCGCCUGAAGAGGAGCCUGCGGCGGAUUAGCUAGUUGGUGAGGUAACGGCUCACCAAGGUCACGAUCCGUAGCCGGCCUGAGAGGGCGGUCGGCCACACUGACACUGACAUACGGGUCAGACUCCUACGGGAGGCAGCAGUCGGGAAUUUUGGGCAAUGGGCGAAAGCCUGACCCAGCAACGCCGCGUGAAGGAUGAAAUCCCUCGGGAUGUAAACUUCGCAAGAAUGGGAAGAAUUAGCGAGCGCUAAUACCGCUCGUGAUGACGGUACCAUUUGUAAGCUCCGGCUAACUCCGUGCCAGCAGCCGCGGUAAUACGGGGGGAGCAAGCGUUGUUCGGAUUUACUGGGCGUAAAGGGCGCGUAGGCGGCCACUGCAAGUCAGUUGUGAAAUCUCCGGGCUUAACUCGGAAAGGUCAACUGAUACUGCAGGGCUAGAGUGCGGAAGGGGCAACUGGAAUUCUCGGUGUAGCGGUGAAAUGCGUAGAUAUCGAGAGGAACACCUGCGGCGAAGGCGGGUUGCUGGGCCGACACUGACGCUGAGGCGCGAAAGCCAGGGGAGCGAACGGGAUUAGAUACCCCGGUAG